GCUAUGACCAUGAUUACGCCAAGCUAUUUAGGUGACACUAUAGAAUACUCAAGCUAUGCAUCCAACGCGUUGGGAGCUCUCCCAUAUGGUCGACCUGCAGGCGGCCGCACUAGUGAUUGUAGUCAUAUGCUUGUCUCAAAGAUUAAGCCAUGCAUGUCUAAGUAUAAGCAACUAUACGGUGAAACUGCGAAUGGCUCAUUAAAUCAGUUAUCGUUUAUUUGAUAGUACCUUACUACAUGGAUAACCGUGGUAAUUCUAGAGCUAAUACAUGCUAAAAACCUCGACUUCGGAAGGGGUGUAUUUAUUAGAUAAAAAACCAAUGCCCUUCGGGGCUCCUUGGUGAAUCAUAAUAACUUAACGAAUCGCAUGGCCUUGCGCCGGCGAUGGUUCAUUCAAAUUUCUGCCCUAUCAACUUUCGAUGGUAGGAUAGUGGCCUACCAUGGUAUCAACGGGUAACGGGGAAUUAGGGUUCGACUCCGGAGAGGGAGCCUGAGAAACGGCUACCACAUCCAAGGAAGGCAGCAGGCGCGCAAAUUACCCAAUCCCGACACGGGGAGGUAGUGACAAUAAAUACUGAUACAGGGCUCUUUUGGGUCUUGUAAUUGGAAUGAGUACAAUUUAAAUCCCUUAACGAGGAACA
rnacentral:rRNA from 1 species